UACAGAGGUCUCAAGCGUUGUUCGGAUUCAUUGGGCGUAAAGGGUGCGUAGGCGGCGCGGUAAGUCGGGUGUGAAAUCUUGGAGCUUAACUCCGAAACUGCACUCGAUACUGCCGUGCUUGAGGACUGGAGAGGAGACUGGAAUUUACGGUGUAGCGGUGAAAUGCGUAGAUAUCGUAAGGAAGACCAGUGGCGAAGGCGGGUCUCUGGACAGUUCCUGACGCUGAAGCACGAAGGCCAGGGGAGCAAACGGG
rnacentral:rRNA from 1 species